GACGAACGCUGGCGGCGUGCCUAAUACAUGCAAGUAGAACGCACAGUUUAUACCGUAGCUUGCUACACCAUAAACUGUGAGUUGCGAACGGGUGAGUAACGCGUAGGUAACCUGCCUGGUAGCGGGGGAUAACUAUUGGAAACGAUAGCUAAUACCGCAUAAUAUUGAUUAUUGCAUGAUAAUUGAUUGAAAGAUGCUAUUGCAUCACUACCAGAUGGACCUGCGUUGUAUUAGCUAGUAGGUGAGGUAACGGCUCACCUAGGCGACGAUACAUAGCCGACCUGAGAGGGUGAUCGGCCACACUGGGACUGAGACACGGCCCAGACUCCUACGGGAGUCAGCAGUAGGGAAUCUUCGGCAAUGGACGAAAGUCUGACCGAGCAACGCCGCGUGAGUGAAGAAGGUUUUCGGAUCGUAAAGCUCUGUUGUAAGAGAAGAACGGGUGUGAGAGUGGAAAGUUCACACUGUGACGGUAUCUUACCAGAAAGGGACGGCUAACUACGUG
rnacentral:rRNA from 1 species